rnacentral:rRNA from 1 species
UGCGUAGGCGGUUUGUUAAGUCUGAUGUGAAAGCCCUGGGCUCAACCUGGGAAUGGCAUUGGAUACUGGCAACCUAGAAUGUGGUAGAGGGUGGCGGAAUUCCCGGUGUAGCAGUGAAAUGCGUAGAUAUCGGGAGGAACAUCCGUGGCGAAGGCGGCCACCUGGACCAACAUUGACGCUGAGGCACGAAAGCGUGGGGAGCAAACAGGAUUAGAUACCCUGGUAGUCCACGCCCUAAACGAUGCGAACUGGAUGUUGGGCUCAAUUGAGAGCUCAGUAUCGAAGCUAACGCGUUAAGUUCGCCGCCUGGGAAGUACGGUCGCAAGACUGAA